rnacentral:rRNA from 1 species
UACGUAGGGUGCAAGCGUUGUCCGGAAUUACUGGGCGUAAAGGGCGCGUAGGCGGUUCGUUAAGUCUGUCGUGAAAUCCCCGGGCUCAACCUGGGAAUGGCGAUGGAUACUGGCGAGCUAGAGUGUGUCAGAGGAUGGUGGAAUUCCCGGUGUAGCGGUGAAAUGCGUAGAGAUCGGGAGGAACAUCAGUGGCGAAGGCGGCCAUCUGGGACAACACUGACGCUGAAGCACGAAAGCGUGGGGAGCAAACAGG